AAACUCUAGGCCAAAUUCUAAACCUUAAAUCAAAUCCUAGAAAAAUCCUAAAUUUUAAACCAAAUCCUAAAUCAAAUUCUAAAUAAAUCUUAAAUCUUAAAUCAAAUCUUCAACGAAUCCUAAAUCCUAAAAAAAUCCUAGAUAAAUAAAAUCCUAGAUAAAUACUAAGCUCUAAAUUAUAUCCUAAAAAAUCCUAAAUCUUAAAUCAAAUACUAAAUAAAUCCUAAAUCAUAAAUUAAAUCCUUAAUUAUAUCUUAAUGUAAAUUUAAAUCUUAAUAU
rnacentral:lncRNA from 1 species